AUCUAACGGACAUGAUCAUCUCUCAUUUAUAAGAUCCGACGUCAUCAAUCUCGUUCACCAAAAGGCGUCUCAGUCAACUGCUAUCUGAACGAUGCACCCCUUAUACAUCCGCCUCUUCUCAAAGGACACCUCAUUUGCCUCCUUUUGGAUACAACACGUCUCUAAAAUCCAUCUAUACAUUGAACUUUCAGAGUUCUUAUCCCUUUAAAUAUUCCAUCAUCAAUCUAUCUCUUUAUAUUUUCCAUCAUCCUCGUCCAGAUUAAGAUGUAAGAAUUCCUCUCAGACAAUUCAUCACCAUCGUCGUACAUGGACAGACUUUUCAAAAGAAAUUAAUUGUUUGGUACUGCGUGGGAGGAGAUGGAGUGAAUCACGUAGUCUUUUGGCCAAAGAACAAUCUAUCUUCCCAAGUUUUUUUACUGCAGUUAGUUGAAAUGUAGUUUUACUCAAUUUUCGUUGAGCGUUUCUGUAUUUCUGUUAAUUGCCGUUUGACGUUUUCUAGCAGAAUUGAUCUGGGAGUCGCUUAUGUAUCAUUUUUAAGUUUUUUCAAAAAAAAUUGAUCCAGAUUAUUGAGUUAUGAUUAAAGGAGUUUGAAGAGGAAAAUAAACAAUUACUAACGAGUAUGGUCAAGCACAGCCUUAAUAACAUCCAUAAGUGCAUCACUCACGCGUGUGCCUUGAAGUGGGAAAGUUUGGAGUUGGAAAAGAAGUAGACUACAACGUUACGUCUCUAUGGGAACCCGAUCUUUAUGAUAUUACAAAUCAUUAAUUUAUUAAUACAAGUAUAAUCUCUUCGUAACAGAAGCUACGUAUUAAUGUAAAUUAUAUGCUUUAGAGUUUUGAGUGAUUUAAAGAAUGUAUAUAGUUGUGUU